UACGAAUGGGGCAAGCGUUGUUCGGAAUCACUGGGCUUAAAGCGUGCGCAGGCGGCCAAGCAAGUCAGAAGUGAAAUCCCUAGGCUCAACCUAGGAAUUGCUUUUGAAACUGCAUGGCUAGAAUCCCGGAGAGGUUAGCAGAAUUCCGAGUGUAGAGGUGAAAUUCGCAGAUAUUCGGAGGAAUACCAGUGGCGCAAGCGGCUAACUGGACGGGCAUUGACGCUCAGGCACGAAAGCGUGGGGAGCAAACAGG
rnacentral:rRNA from 1 species